rnacentral:rRNA from 1 species
AACUAUGUGCCAGCAGCUGCGGUAAUACAUAGGUCGCAAGCGUUAUUCGGAUUUAUUGGGCGUAAAGCAAGCGCAGGCGGACAGAUAAGUUUUGUGUUAAAAGCAGUUGCUCAACAAUUGUUUGCGCUGAAUACUGUCUGUCUAGAAUACGGUAGGAAGUUUUGGAAUUGAAUAUGGAGCGGUGGAAUGUGUAGAUAUAUUCAAGAACACCAGAGGCGAAGGCGAAAACUUAGGCCGUUAUUGACGCUUAGGCUUGAAAGUGUGGGGAGCAAAUGGGAUUAGAUACCCCAGUAGUCCACACCGUAAACGAUGGAUAUUAGAUGUUGGGGUUUGUGCUUCAGCGUUGUAGCUUACGUAUUAAAUAUCCCGCCUGGGUAGUACAUAUGCAAAUAUGAAACUCAAAGGAAUUGACGGGGACCUGAACAAGUGGUGGAACAUGUUGCUUAAUUCGAUAAUACACGAAAAACCUUACCAAGGUUUGACAUCCCCCGCGAAGCUAUAGAAAUAUAGUGGAGGUUAUCGGGGUGACAGGUGGUGCAUGGCUGUCGUCAGCUCGUGUCAUGAGAUGUUUGGUUAAGUCCCGCAACGAGCGCAACCCUACUCUCUAGUUAACUGUCUAGAGAGACUGAACAGUAAUGUAUAGGAAGGUUGGGAUCACGUCAAGUCAUCAUGCCCCUUAUGCCUUGGGCCGCAAACGUGUUACAAUGGCGAGUACAACGUGCUGCAAGCCAGCGAUGGCAAGCUAAUCACUAAAAGCUCGUCUCAGUCCGGAUAAAAGGCUGCAAUUCGCCUUUUUGAAGUUGGAAUCACUAGUAAUCCCGUGUCAGCUAUAUCGGGGUGAAUACGUUCCCAGGUCUUGUAC